rnacentral:rRNA from 1 species
UGGCGGCGUGCUUAACACAUGCAAGUCGAACUAAGAGGGUUAGAAUGAGAGCUUCGGCAGGAUUUCUUUCCAUCUUAGUGGCGGACGGGUGAGUAACGUGUGGGCAACCUGCCCUGUACUGGGGAAUAAUCAUUGGAAACGAUGACUAAUACCGCAUGUGGUCCUCGGAAGGCAUCUUCUGAGGAAGAAAGGAUUUAUUCGGUACAGGAUGGGCCCGCAUCUGAUUAGCUAGUUGGUGAGAUAACAGCCCACCAAGGCGACGAUCAGUAGCCGACCUGAGAGGGUGAUCGGCCACAUUGGGACUGAGACACGGCCCAAACUCCUACGGGAGGCAGCAGUGGGGAAUAUUGCACAAUGGGCGAAAGCCUGAUGCAGCAACGCCGCGUGAAGGAUGAAGGGUUUCGGCUCGUAAACUUCUAUCAAUACGGAAGAAACAAAUGACGGUACCUAAAUAAGAAGCCCCGGCUAACUACGUGCCAGCAGCCGCGGUAAUACGUAGGGGGCAAGCGUUAUCCGGAAUUACUGGGUGUAAAGGGAGCGUGGGCGGCAUGGUAAGCCAGAUGUGAAAGCCUUGGGCUUAACCCGAGGAUUGCAUUUUGCAACUAUCAAGCUAGAGUACACGAAAGGAAAGCGGAAUUCCUAGUGUAGCGGUGAAAUGGUUUGAUAUUAGGAAGAUCACCAGGGAGGAAGGCGGCUUUUUGGACUGAAACUGACGCUGAGGCUGGAAAGCGGGGGGAGCAAACAGGAUUAGAUUCCUGGGUAGUCCACGCCGUAAAUGAUGAGUGCUAGGUGUCGGGGAGGAAUCCUCGGUGCGGCAGCUAUCGCAAUAAGCACUCCACCUGGGGAGUUACGACCGCAAGGUUGAAACUCAAAGGAAUUGACGGGGGCCCGCACAAGCGGUGGAGCAUGUGGUUUAAUUCGAAGCAACGCGAAGAACCUUACCAAGGCUUGACAUCCCGAUGACCGUCCUAGAGAUAGGACUUCUCUUCGGAGCAUCGGUGACAGGUGGUGCAUGGUUGUCGUCAGCUCGUGUCGUGAGAUGUUGGGUUAAGUCCCGCAACGAGCGCAACCCUUAUCUUCAGUAGCCAUCAUUCAGUUGGGCACUCUGGAGAGACUGCCGUGGAUAACACGGAGGAAGGUGGGGAUGACGUCAAAUCAUCAUGCCCCUUAUGUCUUGGGCUACACACGUGCUACAAUGGCUGGUAACAAAGUGACGCAAGACGGUGACGUUAAGCAAAUCACAAAAACCCAGUCCCAGUUCGGAUUGUAGUCUGCAACUCGACUACAUGAAGCUGGAAUCGCUAGUAAUCGCGAAUCAGCAUGUCGCGGUGAAUACGUUCCCGGGCCUUGUACACACCGCCCGUCACACCAUGGGAGUUGGAAGCACCCGAAGUCGGUGACCUAUCCGUAAGGAAGGAGCCGCCGAAGGUGAAGCCA